rnacentral:rRNA from 1 species
UACGUAGGGAGCAAGCGUUGUCCGGAUUUACUGGGUGUAAAGGGUGCGUAGGCGGCUCUGCAAGUCAGGUGUGAAAACUAUCGGCUUAACUGAUAGACUGCAUUUGAAACUGUGGGGCUUGAGUGGAGCAGAGGCAGACGGAAUUCCCGGUGUAGCGGUGAAAUGCGUAGAGAUCGGGAGGAACACCAGUGGCGAAGGCGGUCUGCUGGGCUUUAACUGACGCUGAGGCACGAAAGCAUGGGUAGCAAACAGG